CCUACGGGAGGCAGCAGUAGGGAAUCUUCCACAAUGGACGAAAGUUCUGAUGGAGCAACGCCUGCGUGAGUGAUGAAGGUUUUCGGAUCGUAAAACUCUGUUGUAAGGGAAGAACAAGUACGUUAGGAAAUGAACGUACCUUGACGGUACCUUAUUAGAAAGCCACGGCUAACUACGUGCCAGCAGCCGCGGUAAUACGUAGGUGGCAAGCGUUGUCCGGAUUUAUUGGGCGUAAAGCGCGCGCAGGUGGUUUCUUAAGUCUGAUGUGAAAGCCCACGGCUCAACCGUGGAGGGUCAUUGGAAACUGGGAGACUUGAGUGCAGAAGAGGAUAGUGGAAUUCCAAGUGUAGCGGUGAAAUGCGUAGAGAUUUGGAGGAACACCAGUGGCGAAGGCGACUGUCUGGUCUGUAACUGACACUGAGGCGCGAAAGCGUGGGGGAGCAAACAGGAUUAGAUACCCUGGUAGUCCACGCCGUAAACGAUGAGUGCUAAGUGUUAGGGGGUUUCCGCCCCUUAGUGCUGCAGCUAACGCAUUAAGCACUCCGCCUGGGGGAGUACGACCGCAAGGUUGAAACUCAAAGGAAUUGACGGGGGCCCGCACAAGCGGUGGAGCAUGUGGUUUAAUUCGAAGCAACGCGAAGAACCUUAC
rnacentral:rRNA from 1 species